AGCGAACGCUGGCGGCAGGCUUAACACAUGCAAGUCGAGCGCCCCGCAAGGGGAGCGGCAGACGGGUGAGUAACACGUGGGAACGUACCCUUUGGUUCGGAACAACCCAGGGAAACUUGGGCUAAUACCGGAUACGUCCGUAAGGAGAAAGAUUUAUCGCCAAAGGAUCGGCCCGCGUCUGAUUAGCUAGUUGGUGGGGUAAUGGCCCACCAAGGCUACGAUCAGUAGCUGGUCUGAGAGGAUGAUCAGCCACAUUGGGACUGAGACACGGCCCAAACUCCUACGGGAGGCAGCAGUGGGGAAUAUUGGACAAUGGGGGCAACCCUGAUCCAGCCAUGCCGCGUGAGUGAUGAAGGCCCUAGGGUUGUAAAGCUCUUUUAGCAGGGAAGAUAAUGACGGUACCUGCAGAAAAAGCCCCGGCUAACUUCGUGCCAGCCGCCGCGGUAACAC
rnacentral:rRNA from 1 species